GACGAACGCUGGCGGCGUGCUUAACACAUGCAAGUCGAACGGAAAGGCCCUGCUUUUGUGGGGUGCUCGAGUGGCGAACGGGUGAGUAACACGUGAGUAACCUGCCCUUGACUUUGGGAUAACUUCAGGAAACUGGGGCUAAUACCGGAUAGGAGCUCCUGCUGCAUGGUGGGGGUUGGAAAGUUUCGGCGGUUGGGGAUGGACUCGCGGCUUAUCAGCUUGUUGGUGGGGUAGUGGCUUACCAAGGCUUUGACGGGUAGCCGGCCUGAGAGGGUGACCGGCCACAUUGGGACUGAGAUACGGCACAGACUCCUACGGGAGGCAGCAGUGGGGAAUAUUGCACAAUGGGCGGAAGCCUGGUGCAGCAACGCCGCGUGCGGGAUGACGGCCUUCGGGUUGUAAACCGCUUUCGCCUGUGACGAAGCGUGAGUGACGGUAAUGGGUAAAGAAGCACCGGCUAACUACGUG
rnacentral:rRNA from 1 species